GAUGAAGAACGUAGUGAAAUGCGAUAAGUAAUGUGAAUUGCAGAAUUCAGUGAAUCAUCGAAUCUUUGAACGCACAUUGCGCCCCCUGGUAUUCCGGGGGGCAUGCCUGUCCGAGCGUCAUUACAACCCUCAAGCUCAGCUUGGUGUUGGGCCCCGCCGCCCCGGCGGGCCCUAAAGUCAGUGGCGGUGCCGUCCGGCUCCGAGCGUAGUAAUUCUUCUCGCUCUGGAGGUCCGGUCGUGUGCUCGCCAGCAACCCCCAAUUUUUUUCAGGUUGACCUCGGAUCAGGUAGGGAUACCCGCUGAACUUAAGCAUAUCAAUAAGCGGGGA
rnacentral:misc_RNA from 1 species